GGCUAAGACUGCUAUUGUGUUUCUUCAUUCACCCUUUCUUGUCUAUUGCCCCAGUUGCAGCUAAUAGAUUCUAUGGUUACCAGGGAUACCAGCUUUAGGUUGACGCAGAUGCUAAAUGCCGCGGGAGUCAGAGAAAACCUGGGGUCCUGAUGAUGUUGUUGAGCUGCUGAAUCAACCAUCCCUAAACCCUAUGCUCCCAAGACUUCCUGUCAUCUUUUGCAGACUUCUUUUCCUGGCUCUCUGGUAACCAGCUACAUGUCUUCCACAUGAAGCCUCCUGAGUUCAUCAGUACAUCAUUGCAUCAUUGACAUGACCCUGCUGAACUAUGCCACGUCUGCCUUUGCUUAAGUGGGUAGGACUGAACCUGUAGCAAACUUUGGAGCACUCAUUUGGGUCACAAUGAUAAAAAUAAUAAUACUUAAUAAUA